GCCCAGCUAGCUCAGUUGGUAGAGCAUGAGACUCUUAAUCUCAGGGUCGUGGGUUCGGUUGGGCG